rnacentral:rRNA from 1 species
CCUACGGGAGGCAGCAGUGGGGAAUAUUGGACAAUGGGCGAAAGCCUGAUCCAGCCAUGCCGCGUGUGUGAAGAAGGCCUUCGGGUUGUAAAGCACUUUCAGUGGGGAAGAAAGCCUUGGGGCUAAUACCCUCGAGGAAGGACAUCACCCACAGAAGAAGCACCGGCUAACUCCGUGCCAGCAGCCGCGGUAAUACGGAGGGUGCGAGCGUUAAUCGGAAUUACUGGGCGUAAAGCGCGCGUAGGCGGUCUGAUAAGCCGGUUGUGAAAGCCCCGGGCUCAACCUGGGAACGGCAUCCGGAAGGGGUCAGGGGACAUGUCAGGAGAGUAGGGAACAAGGACCGGUGUGAUAGCGAGAUGCGGAGAGACCGGGAGGGAGGGAGGUGGCGAAGGGGGGAAGAUGAACUGAGAGUGACGCUGAGGUGAGAAGUAGGGUGAAGCAAACAGGAGCAGGUAAAAGUGGAGUC